GGGGCACUCUGUGGAGACUGCCGGUGUCAACCGGAGGAAGGUGGGGAUGACGUCAAGUCCUCAUGGCCCUUAUGACCAGGGCUACACACGUGCUACAAUGGCCGGUACAAAGAGUUGCGAUACCGUGAGGUGGAGCCAAUCUCAUAAAGCCGGUCUCAGUUCGGAUUGGAGUCUGCAACUCGACUCCAUGAAGUUGGAAUCGCUAGUAAUCGCGGAUCAGCAUGCCGCGGUGAAUACGUUCCCGGGCCUU
rnacentral:rRNA from 1 species